rnacentral:tRNA from 1 species
GGGUCUGUGGUCUAGCGGUUAUGACACCACCCUUACAAGGUGGAAGUCGCAGGUUCAAAUCCUGCCGGACCCA